AUUGAGAGUGAGGACACCUAUAGUGGAGUCCCUCAGUUGUACCACUGUUCCACUGAAAUGUAGAGGAUUGGAGAUGGAACAACACUGCCAGCUGACCUCACAAGUUGACGAGCAUUCCAGAGAUGUUUUAGGUUUGAGGAUUGACUCCAUUCGGAGUGGACACUACCAGGAUUCUGAAGAAUGGACACCUGCUGAACUGACAACUAAGAAAUGUUCAUCAAACCUGCUGCAACCUGAUGGACUACAUCUGCAGGGGCCUUCAGACGUUAGUCAGAACGGACACGGAAAAAUGGACGUGAUUUUUAUCAUUGUAAAUCCAGAUGCAGUCAGCAAAGAGCAGGGUUCCCAGACUCCUGAAC
rnacentral:lncRNA from 1 species